UAUCUCUGUAGAGUCUGCAUAUCAAUAAGCGGAGGAAAAGAAACUAACAAGGAUUUCCCUAGUAACGGCGAGUGAAGCGGGAAGAGCUCAAAUUUGAAAUCUUCAAGGUUUACCUUGACGAAUUGUAGUUUAAAGAAGUGUUUUCGGUUAGAGGAGUAGUAAAAGUUCUUUGGAAUAGGACAUCAUAGAGGGUGAGAAUCCCGUAUUUGACCAUUCUUUCUAGCUUUGUGAUACACUUUCAAAGAGUCGGAUUGUUUGGGAAUGCAGUCCAAAAUGGGUGGUAAAUUUCAUCUAAAGCUAAAUAUUGGCGAGAGACCGAUAGCGAACAAGUACCGUGAGGGAAAGAUGAAAAGAACUUUGAAAAGAGAGUUAAACAGGUACGUGAAAUUGUCAAAAGGGAAGCGUUUGACACCAGUGUUGUUUUUCCGAAAAUCAAUUAAAAAUGGAUUCAUGCUAAGUUGUAUUGACCUUAUCAGCUUGCAAUUUAGUUUUGGGUUUCUUUUUGAUGCACUUUUCGGUUAACAAGUCAACAUCAAUUUCCUUUGCUGUAAAAAGGCAGGAGGAAGGUGGCUUCAAUUUCGGUUGAAGUGUUUAUAGCCUUCUGUCUCUGCAGUCGGGGAGAUUGAGGUCUGCAGCGUAGAUCCUUCGGGGCUAGAUACAUUCGUGCUAAGUUAUAGCCUUUUAUAGACAACUUGUUGACUAUGAUUGGUCUUGUAAUUUACUCGCGAGUGCUAUUUUACCUACGCUUAGGAUGUUGAUCUACAGAGCGAGAGU
rnacentral:rRNA from 1 species